AAAAGGCUAUUUGGAAACAAAUUCAUGAGCGGGUCCUGGAAACUGGUCCUGCCCAUGGGCUUUGUGAUGUAUUCGCUGCCUCUGUUUCUGCGUGUCAACGGUACUUCCAACUACAUCAUCGAUGAGGAGUUUCACAUUCCACAGGGCCUGGCUUUUUGUCGAAAGCAGUUUGACGUGUGGGACCCGAAGAUAACUACGUUUCCCGGCCUAUAUCUGAUUGCCCUCGUCUUGAACCCAUUCAACUACUGCACUGUGACGGGCCUACGCCUGCUGAGUCUUAUCGGUGCGGGCAUCAACAUAAUGCUGCUCUACAGGAUCCGGCGUCGAACGUUGGCCGGCACAGGUGGCAAUUCCUAUGCAGCACACGAGGCAAUAACCCUAUCGGUGUUGCCGCCACUAUACUUUUUCAGUCAUCUGUAUUACACGGACACCCUGUCGCUGACCAUGGUGCUUAUGUUCUACCACUUCUGGCAGCAUGACGCGCACCUACCCGCAGCUGUCUUCGGAGCUGCCAGUGUGCUGAUGCGGCAAACGAACAUUGUGUGGGUUUGCAUGGGCACCGGAAUGACUGUGCUGGACACACUGGUCGAGCAGUGCGCCAAGAGGCGUGCAGUGCACAAGGGACAGAUCCGACUGCUAGGAGCGGAUAUGUGGCUGCAGCUAUUAGGCAGUCCACAAUUGCUGUUCAGUUGUAUAUUGAGCAUUUUGGCCAAGUGCUGCUUCUACAUAUCCGUCAUACUGCCCUUCGUUGGAUUCCUUUGCAUCAACGGUGCGAUUGUUGUGGGUGACAAGAGCGCGCACGAGGCCUCCCUAAAUCUGCCGCAAAUCUUCUACUUUGCCAUAUUUGCCGCUAUCUUUGCCGUAUCCAACACACUACGCCAGCUUCGUCCCGCGGUGGAGAUGCUUCGGCGCAACAGAAUCCCCGCCCUUCUGGCUCUGUUCUUAAUACUUACGGUGAUCCACCUGAACACGGUUGUGCAUCCGUACCUGUUGGCCGAUAAUCGUCACUACACUUUCUAUGUGUGGAGCCGCCUGUAUGGUCGGUUCUGGUGGUUCCGCUAUGCCAUGGCGCCUGCCUAUCUGUUCGCCAUGACAGUGCUCUACUGCGGGCUGCGUCACAUGUCCGACAGCUUUAAGCUGAUGUUUCCCCUCAGCCUUGUGCUGGUUCUGUGCUUCCAGCGACUCCUCGAGCUACGAUACUUUCUAGUGCCCUACAUCCUUUUUCGGCUGAACACGCGGCACACACGCAAGGGCUACUCGGAGUGGCUGGAGCUGGGCGCACAUUUGCUUCUGAAUGUAGCUACAUUCUAUGUGUACUUCACCAAAGAGUUCUACUGGCAGGACUACAGCACACCGCAGAGAAUCAUUUGGUAGACCCCAUAUUCUACACCAUUCCCGAAAUUUCGAUCCGAUGGCGAUAAAGGAAGAUUCACAGCUGCAUAGUGCAGGGUGUUUAAGCAUUUAUUAAACUUGAAACCCCUUGUCAUUUUUAAUAUUGCUUUUUAUUCGUUGCAUCGCUACUUGAGUAAGAAAUUGCUCUACGUUUUCAGUUACAAAAAAUGGGGAAGAAUUCUACGCAUAGGUAUGGUGUGGCUAUUAAAUUGGACUCAAAAGAUAAUACUGACUGCCGAGGCAAACACAAAGAAUACAUUUAACAUUUAUCGAUUGGAAAACACUUUGAGCAUGCUGAGAAUGUCUACCGAAAUCUAUCUGGUAAUGAUAAUGAUAUAGUUAAUUAAUAAUGCUGAUCAGAUUGUUAAGUGCGAAACUGGGCAAGAAAUGCUACACUCUCUACUGCUAAUCUAAUAAACUGAGCGUUACACACACUUUGAGCGUUACAGCUGCG